AUUGAACGCUGGCGGCAGGCCUAACACAUGCAAGUAGAACGCAGUUGCGAACGGGUGAGUAACGCGUCGGUAACUGCCUUAUAGCGGGGGAUAACUAUUGGAAACGAUAGCUAAUACCGCAUACUGUGAGCUGGAUCGGCGUUGUAUUAGCUAGUUGGAGAGGUAAAGGCUCACCAAGGCGACGAUACAUAGCCGACCUGAGAGGUUGAUCUGCCACACUGGGACUGAGACACGGCCCAGACUCCUACGGGAGGCAGCAGUGGGGAAUAUUCGACAAUGGACGGAAGUCUGACCGAGCAACGCCGCGUGAGUGAAGAAGGUUUUCGGGUCGUAAAGCACUGUUGUUAGAGAAGCGGUAUCUAAACAAGAAGCCACGGCUAACUACGUGCCAGCAGCCGCGGUAAUAC
rnacentral:rRNA from 1 species